CUCCCUUCUGGCAACCCUGUUUCUUCUCUGUAUCCAUAACUCUCUUUCAGUUUUGUUUGUUCGUUUGUUUUCUUUGUCAGAUUCCACAAAAAUGCGAGGUCUUACCGUUCUUGUCUUUCUCUAUCAAACUUAUUUCACUAAGCAUAGUACUCCAGGACCGUCCUUGUUGUCACAAAUGGAAAGAACCAGUAUCUGGAUUAUUUCCAGGCCAUCCAGACAGCUAUUUCAACUGGAACAAGUGACCUUUGGAACAGACUAGAACAUAGCAGACUGGCCAGACAGAGCGAGGGAGUAGUCAGCUGGGAAGGGCCCCAGCAUGUUCCUAUGAAAUGUCAUUUGAAGUAAGAGGACAGUAAAAAGCUGAGGACAAAUAAAUGAACUUAAAAAUAUUUAAAGCCAAUGAAAACUGUAAGACCACAACAUGGGAAUGAAGGAAAGACACAGUUUGAAUCUCUA